rnacentral:rRNA from 1 species
CUUAACUCUGGAAACUGCCAUCAAAACUUUUUAGCUAGAGUAUGAUAGAGGAAAGCAGAAUUUCUAGUGUAGAGGUGAAAUUCGUAGAUAUUAGAAAGAAUACCAAUUGCGAAGGCAGCUUUCUGGAUCAUUACUGACGCUGAGGAACGAAAGCAUGGGUAGCGAAGAGGAUUAGAUACCCUCGUAGUCCAUGCCGUAAACGAUGUGUGUUAGACGUUGGAAAUUUAUUUUCAGUGUCGCAGCGAAAGCAUUAAACACACCGCCUGGGGAGUACGACCGCAAGGUUAAAACUCAAAUGAAUUGACGGGGACCCGCACAAGUAGUGGAGCAUGUGGUUUAAUUCGAAGAUACGCGCAGAACCUUACCAACACUUGACAUGUUCGUCGCGACUUUAAGAGAUUAAAGUUUUCGGUUCGGCCGGACGAAACACAGGUGCUGCAUGGCUGUCGUCAGCUCGUGUCGUGAGAUGUUGGGUUAAGUCCCGCAACGAGCGCAACCCUCACUUUUAGUUGCCAUCAUUUAGUUGGGCACUCUGAAAGAACUGCCAGUGAUAAGCUGGAGGAAGGUGGGGAUGACGUCAAGUCCUCAUGGCCCUUACGUGUUGGGCUACACACGUGCUACAAUGGCAUUUACAAUAGGAAGCAAGAUGGCGACGUCAAGCAAAUCCUAAAAAGAUGCCUCAGUUCGGAUUGUACUCUGCAACUCGAGUACAUGAAGCUGGAAUUACUAGUAAUCGCGGAUCAGCGCGCCGCGGUGAAUACGUUCCCGGGUCUUGUACACACCGCCCGUCACACCAUGGGAGUUGGUUCUACCUUAAGGCAAGGUUUAAAACCCUUGACCACGGUAUAGUCAGCGACUGGGGUGAAGUCGUAACAAGGUAACCGUA